GUAGGGAAUAUUGGACAAUGGGGGCAACCCUGAUCCAGCGACGCCGCGUGAGUGAUGAAGGCCUUCGGGUCGUAAAGCUCUGUUGCAGGGGAAGAACACAAUGACGGUACCCUGCUAGAAAGGAUCGGCUAACUUCGUGCCAGCAGCCGCGGUAAGACGAGGGAUCCUAGCGUUGUUCGGAAUUAUUGGGCGUAAAGCGGGUGCAGGUGGCUUGGUAAGUCAGAUGUGAAAGCCUGUGGCCUAACCCCAGAAGUGCAUUUGAUACUGCUGAGCAUGAGUGCUGGAGAGGCUAUUAGAAUUCCUGGUGUAGUGGUGAAAUACGUAGAUAUCAGGAGGAAUACCGGAGGCGAAGGCGGAUAGCUGGCCAGACACUGACACUCAGACCCGAAAGCGUGGGGAUCAAACAGGAUUAGAAACCCGGGUAGUCC
rnacentral:rRNA from 1 species